CAGCCCGACGCCCAGAGCGGACGGACGAGAGCCCCUGAGGUGCCAAGUGGACCCCGGUUCUGCUGCUGCCACUGGCCGACUGGGGACGCCGGCACUUGCGCUGUGGGCGUGUGGUGGGGCAUUUCCGUUAUCCUCUCGAAGACACCCCGCCACUAUUCCUGCUCAAACAAGCACAGUCUGGUGUGCAAGCCGACCGUACCUCCUCCCCUCCCUCCUUUCUUGCACGCACCUUCGUUCGUCUGUCUAUUCUUGCCUUCUUCCCCAGAGCGCCAAGACAAAUGUGGACAAGAGUGAAGAAGUUAGGAUACUGCCAAGUGUGUGUGUAUUGGGGUUGGGGGUAGUAAUAAGCGGGGACAAAGUGAUGAAAAUAAAAUUAGAAAUCCCAGAGUAUGUAGCAACACACACACACACACACACGCACACACACACGUUCCCAGCCUGUUAGCAAUCUUGGCUAUGUCCAAGUGGAAGCAAAUUUUAAUGCUCGGUCUUAGAAGAAAAUUUCACAUAUACAGGCUUCAGAGGUAACGGGGUAACCGAUAGCUUCCUUUUACUUCUCGGCAUUUAUUUUUGCUUUUCUGAAGCAUAGCCCUAUAUUUAUUAAAGGGACGACAGGAGUACACGCUGUUUGAAAGCCAUUCCUGGACACCACUGAGGCCGGCUUCCCAGGGAGCCUUUGUCGCCUCUGCAGCAGAGGUCACUGGACUCUCCUCAAGGUGUAAUGUGAGGGGACAGGUGCCUCGGGGGCUUGGGAAAACACCACGCUGUGCUCUGAUGUGUGUCCCCAUCCCGGGCGAAGUCAAGUGCUUUGCAUAAGGACCAGAUGGGUUGCUGAAUAGGGAGGUGGAAAACAAAUAGACCCUGGUGUAUCUUGAACCCCUUCAACACCCCCCCUUCCCCACUCCCUGCCUUCACCGAAGCAGUGUCAGAGUCCUCUUCGAUCCAGCAUGCUCUCCUUCACUUGCGAAAAACUGCAUUAAAACGAGGCAGUCGGAGCUGACUGCGGAAACCCAUGUUCUUAGAGAGUCGUCUGGCUACUGCGUAGUCCUGGAAUAUUCUUUUUUUCAAAAGGCCUCUUCCAGUUGAUUCCAACCGGGUUCGGGUUAUUGUUCUCACCACCGAUAGGGGGCAGCAGGUGUCCUGCGAUGCUCCGGCGGUGUGCGCGCAGACUGCCCUGCUGUCCCCGGGAAUCCGACUACAUUGAACGUUUGGGGCAGAAGCAGGACCUGCUGCCUCUAAGUCCACCGCAGCAGCUGCCGGGACUUGGGCCUCCCAGCCUGGGCGCCUGGGGGGCUUCCCCUGUGCAAAGGGUGGGCGAAACCAUCUGUGCACCAAGCCUGCCCCUAAACUUAGCGUACAGCAUAGAUAAAUAAACUCAGUUGUAUGCAAAUGCUAUAAUUAAAAUAUACAGUCAUUUGAAAGUACUGUAGGCUCUAUUGGAGUUUUUAAUUGUUUUUGAGUUUUCUCAAUCAGUAGAGAAUUUAAAAAUACGGCUAUCACAGUCUGUUUGGAGGGUGGUGGUCUGUUACGUUGAAUUUUAAAAGGGCGUCUGUCCCUAGAAGUUGGGAACUACUGAUCCACAGAAUCGUUUGAUGACCGUGGUAAAGAUUCCGAGGCAUCUCGGAAGGGAAACUGGGAGGACUGAGCUAGUCCUAGCAGGGUGUGUGUCCGCCCGCGCCGCGAGGCGUGGGCAACACAGCCCCAUCCCGGGAGCGCGGAGCUAUGGCAGCUGGGAUUGGUCCAGAUCGAGAGUCCUGAGGGGCUGGGAUUUCCUGAAAACCUACUUCACUUGACAUAAAAGUGGAGAAGAUAAAUAGUAAUUUGGAACCAAAACUCAGGACGUCCCAGGAGAGGCUAGAUUAGGAAUUCUUUGAUUUGGGAUCACGAAAAUGAAGUAUCCAUAUUUUAACAGAAUGAUUAGUAGCAGAGGAAUCAUCUAAGAAAACUGAGAAGGCUCUGCCAGAGUGAUGGGAAGAAAACUAGAUGAGAAAGCACUGUUCUGGAAGACAUGCUCCCAUGAACCAUGGAGAGAAGAGGAGAGGGAAGAAGUUAUUUGUGAUGUCAUUUGCCUGUGUCAUGGCCUGCCUUCCCUAGAUAUUGUCCUAAUGUGAGCAUCACACCUAAGGUACUGAAGUAGAGUGCUGGCUGUUCCUUACGGACAUCUCUGAUGGACCUCCAUCUGUUUUUGAUACAAGUCAGUCUUUUCCUGGACUUUUGGUAUCUUCUGGACAAUGUCAGUCAUUUGGCUGAAAAGUUCAACUUGAGCAGUUUUAACAUCUUGGAGCACUACUGGAAGAUUCAUUUUUCCGUGAUAACUAACAUCAUCUUGAUUACAAUCAUCAGAUGUCACAGUGGGAUAUCCAGUUGAAUCUUGGUGCCGAAUCUUACAUUUGUGGUAAACAUUUUUAAGAGACUGUCUGACCUUGGAGAGAUUUGAAGUCCACAUCUGCCUAGCAGCAGCUUUUACCCUUUUGGUGUGAAGCGUGUACAUCUUUCAUGGUGAAACAAGAGGCAAGGUGUUGGAAAACAUAGAAUCACAGGAAGAAAUAAUGUACAAAUGAAAUGGUCCUUCUCUUACUGUUUGUGGGAUGCCUUUCCUGAUAACAUCUUAGAACGCUCUGGAAAUCAUCAGCCACAGCAAUAGACACUCUUAGGUGAUUAGCUUCUUACAGAGCAGCCCAACCAGAGAGCUCUGUGAAAUAAUAGUCAACUGCAUGGAAUCCUUCAUAUGGUAAUCAUUGACUUGCUGCUGAUGUCACAAUGACUGCUGGCUUAGAACAAACACAUUUAACUACAGCAGUUCUCAAAAGUUUUGGUCAUAGGGCUCUUUUGAAUCAUAGAAAUUGUUGAGCAGCCUGAGGAACACAGAAAAACACCUGUUUCUACAAAAAAAUAAAAAAAUUAGCCAGCCAUGGUGGUGCGUGCCUGUAGUCUCAGCUACUUGGGAGGCUGAGGUGGGAGGAUCACUUGAGCACAGUGGGUGGAGACUGUAGUAUGCCAUGAUGGUACCACUGCACUCCAGCCUGGGCGACAGUGCAAGACUCUGUCUCAAAAUGAAUAAAUAAAUAAAUAAAUAAAAAUAAAUAAAAAUGAAAAAUUAUUGAGGAUCACACAGAUUUUGUUUAUUUGGGUUAUAUCUACCUACAUUUUAUAGUAGACAUUAAAACUAAGAAAGUCUUAGAUAAUUAGUUAUUAAUUUAAAUUUAAAAACCCAUUACAUGUUAACAUAAGUAAUAUAUUUUCAUAAAAAAUAAUUUGGUUUUCUAAAAAAAAAGUGAGAAGAGUGGCAUUGUUUUACGUAUCUGCAAGUGUUUUAAAUACCUGAAUUAAUAGAAGAUAACUAGAUUCUCAUAUCUGCUUCUGCAUUAUAUCUGUUGUGAUAUAUUAUUUUGAAGUAUAUGAAGAAAAAAUAGCCUCAUGGAGAUACGUAAAUGGAAAGGGGAGAGUAUUUUCAUAGCUUUUUCAGAUAAUUGAGGAUAUCAUUCUUUGCUACUUUAUGAAAAUUUGACAAAUGGUAUUUUUUUAAGAAGUUAGCUGCAAUGUGUCAUUUUAGGCCAAAUCAAUGAACUUUCAUACUCUGUUAUAUUAAUAGUCACUGGUCUAUUUUUUAUUUUGAAUAGAUGCAUAAUAUCAUGUAUUGGUCAUUUGGCAAACAAUGGUUCACUGAAUUAUGUAGGUCUUCCAAAUGUUGACUCAUUGUAUUAUAUAAUAUCAAAAUAUCAUUUUCAUUAAUAUCUCCACCAAUCUCACCGGAAAAGUCUUUGAGUACUGAGAAGAGGCCAAGCUCAUGGUAGCAAAUGCAAAUUUUUCAAAAUUCUAAUUUUAGCUUGAAAAUAUUGAAAUUUAUCAAGCUGGUUUAUUGUUUUCCUUGAAGUGACAGAUUCCCUCCAUCCAUUUUUUUGCAAAAAUGCUUGCCAAAUGCCCAACUAUGAACACUGUAGUUUGCUGUCAGUUUUUUUUUCAAGAAAAAAUAGUGUUCCAUGAAAAAAGCAUACAUUUGCAAUUCAAAUACUUAUGUACGUUUCCUCAUGAAAACCAGUAUACUUUGUUAAGCUGCAGAAGCACUUAUGUUUACUUCCCAUUGUAUCAUACAUAAUAUAAAAAAGAUGUACUGAAGGGUUGAGAUCUAAUAAGAUUAAAAAUUCUUACUGCUUCAUUGAGGACA